rnacentral:rRNA from 1 species
UACGUAGGGUGCAAGCGUUAAUCGGAAUUACUGGGCGUAAAGCGUGCGCGGGCGGUUAUGUAAGACAGUUGUGAAAUCCCCGGGCUCAACCUGGGAAUUGCAUCUGUGACUGCAUAGCUAGAGUACGGUAGAGGGGGGAUGGAAUUCCGCGUGUAGCAGUGAAAUGCGUAGAUAUGCGGAGGAACACCGAUGGCGAAGGCAAUCCCCUGGACCUGUACUGACGCUCAUGCAC